GCGUGAGAACUCUACAUAUUCUUUCAGAAAUGGUGGAAGUAUGUAACUUACACGGACGGGUAGAGGAUAGCCGAAGAAGUUCGGUAGUGUACGAAGAACUGAAUUCUGAAACCUGUAAUACGGGAUGGAGAAAUCAAUGAGGAUCCACCGGGAAAGUGAAGUAGGAAGACGCGGGAUGCAGUCCGUAGGCUCGGCGAACCAGAGCGUCCGCAAAGUAUUCUACCACUCUCUUUUUAUUUCCAAACCAGAAGGGUCUCUCAUCAGCAAGAAUCAAGAUGUUGUGAAGGAACGCAUCGGCGCUUUUCAGAUCCCCAUCUUCAAUAGCUUCAGCGCAGGAUAGUAACAAUCUCAAGGCGGUGUCGGAAAAAGAAGAAGCCAUGAAAGAAGGUGAGAUUCAACAGAGUUUGGGUAAAGCAGAAGAGAAAUAUAGUAGAAAAGUAAGUGAAAGCAGCAAUGAUUGAUAUGUACAAUUCAAAAGCUGUAUGAAAAGCAAUGUUUCUAUUUUGACUUUUGUUUUUGCUUCCUACAAAUUACCAGCCUGCAAAUUAAAUAAUAUCUCAACCAACUCUCUCAUUUUUUUUUGUCUACAUUAAUACUAGAAUUUCACAAAUUUGAUCCCUGAUUUUGUAUUCUAAAAUGGUGUGAUGUUAU